ensembl:lncRNA
CCCAGGUCUGGUGUGAAUAUCCUGCUGAGUUUUAACUUACAGUUUUAAACAGAGGUGUGAAACCAUGACAUUUUGCAUAGAGGUGGACCGUCUAACUCUAGAGUGGAAAUGCCCCCCUACUUACACUCUUCACUCUCCCACUUGAAGAUGGACAUGCUGCUAAUCGCUCUGAUCACACUCUUAUGCACCGAUUCUUCCAGUCAGGAUGGGAUCUCUGGAUCAGAAGUGGAGCUGAGGGUGAGACCAGGAGACCACAUCGUUCUCCACUGUGACGUCAUAAACAACAUAUCCACUCUGUGGUACCAGAACCGUUCCUGUGGGAGUGACCAUUUCAAUGUGUCUGUGUUCAGUUCACUUGAGAAACCGGUGCCACGCUUUACUUUAAUAUGGAGGCAUUCUAAGGGGGUCUACGAUCUUCUGAUUGAGAACAUCACUGAGUCUGACCUUGGACUCUAUUACUGUGCCACCGUGGGCAUCGAGAAGCAGCUCACCGCGAACAGGGACAUAUACUGCGCUGAGAUCUACCACUAUGGAAACACCAACAGGAGGAUUUCAUUUGAUGAAAUUCCGGACUGUUACUUGGCUUACUCUGAUGUCUACUCCAUCCUGCUGGCGGCCUACAGAGCUUUGUAUCUGCUGCUCGUUCCUUGUGCCUUCUGGGUUGGGGAAAUAUAAGGAGCUCCAAGGAACCAGGAGGAAGUUCUGGAACAAAUCAGACAACAGUCAUUCUUGGUGACAGAACUCUAGGCUGUGUCCCCGGGAGAACGCCCUGAUUCCAAAAGGAUUGUAAAAGGACUUUACAAUUAUCUGUGCAGCAUGUCUUUUUCAUUGUUCAAAUCAUG